GUUCGGAUCAUUUAUAGUGCGAACUAACACGAACCAAACUCUUAUCAAGCCGAACUCGUAGGUUAUUUACACCCCUGAACGUCACUUAUUUUUAUCUUUUCUGUGCGACCUCCGCCAACCUCCACUUGAUGUCACCACCUCAUCAAUACUAGUUUUGAGCUGCCGAAUCGCAACUGCUACUCUACUAUUGCCGCUCAAUCAAACCAUAAUUUUAUCGCCUGUAGUAUCAAUUUACAGCCACCACUACUGUUCCGCCGUGAAACCACCAUUGCCGCUGCUUCCGAGCCCACAAAAAACCGUUACGACUGCUGCCUCGCCGCCAGCCGAGAUAAUAAUAGUCAACAAUAAUAAUCAACCAAACAACAAAUGACGCAAAUCAUUUCAGCUCUCUUCAGCAUGUGUUUCUGCUAGUGAAGAUGAAAUGCUCGAUUGGCUAUGUAUACUGUCGGGACGUCCUGAUAACGGAUCACUCAUCACUUCCUGCUAUAAAAUGAUUAUUUGGCUGUACCGCGGGGAAGGAGCUGCACUGCUUGGCAAAAACAUGUGCAUUUCUUCAUCCCCUAAAUCUCUCAAUCUCUCAAGCUCCGGCAGCACUACAGUUCCAAGAUCCGGUCUGUCUUUCCGCCUCAGUUCUGCACAUUGCAGUGCUAGCUUUGCAAACUUCAAUGUAUCUUCCAUCGGCCAAUCAGUCACUGCUGGAUCUAUGACAUCUUUGAAAGUUCCCUUCUCAAUCGAUUGCUCUACAAUGUGAGUCAGCCCCAUAGGUGGUUUUGCUGUUAUGAGCUGCAGCAACAUGAUUCCUAGUGAAUAUACAUCUGAUUUCACUCCCAGCAUUCCUGUUUGUUGAUACUCUGGGUCUAUGUAGCAGAAUGUUCCAGCUGUUGAUGUCAUGUGAUACUGCGUUACAUUCUCGGCUACUGCUGGGACUAGUCUUGCUAACCCAACGUCACUUAUCUUACACACGUAAUUGUGGUCUAGCAAUAUGUUUGCAGGCUUCAGGUCUCGAUGCACAAGUGGUUCUGGUUUCGUCUGAUGGAGAAAGAGUAGCCCUGUUGCAAUUUGUGAAGCAAUUCGGAAUCUGAGUUGCCAUGGAAGAACAGGGCUGUUCCCUCUUCUGAAUAGACGAUCAUCUAAGCUUCCCUUAGCCAUGUACUCGUACACUAGAACUCCAUACUCUGGACAAGCUCCUAAGAGGAGUACCAUAUUUGGAUGCCGUAUUAAGCUGAGUACUUCCACCUGCAUUAAUAAGCCAAUCUCAAUUUAUUUUCUUUAAAAUUUGUUUCUCUUACUUUGGUUGUCACCUUGUUGUCUUAAAGAUAAUUUGCAUAUCUUUCAUUUAGUCCUUACCUCUCGCUGAAAUUGGGAUCUUCCUUGGGCUGCAUCUGGGCGUAAUACCUUGACCGCAACAGGUGUGUGAUCAAGAUAACACUUGUAAACUGGGCCAUAACCUCCUUCUCCUAUCUUCCGUACUUCAGCAAAGAAUUCUGUUGCCUGUUCAAUCUCCUCGAUAUUGUAUCUCCUAUAUCUGACGUCGUUAUGCGCGAAAGAAUCCAUUACUUUUCUCAUUUCUUCUGCUUCUUUGAGGGCUUUGAUUUCUACAGUUAGUCUCCUCUGUGCUUCCAGUUCUGCUAUCCUCUUAGCCGCAUCAGCUGCUUCCAUCGCUGCCCUGCAUCGGACUUUCUCUUUCUCUGCAGCCGACAAUGCAGCUUCCUCUGCAAGUUUAGCCUCUUCCAUUCUUCGUUCUUCUUCCACUCUCCAGCGUUGAAGCUCCGUUGCCUAUACGAGUUUCAUAUUACAAAUUAUAACCGUACUCUUCUUUUUUAUUUAUUGCAGAAGGGAGAAAUUAUUUUCAAUACCUUUUGUUUUGCUGUGAGAGCUUCUUUGCAUGCAGUACUAUACAUGUCCAUUGUUUGCUUCAGCUCUAGUUUUAACCUUCUCAUCUCAGCUUCCAUGUCAUCCUUUGAGUUUAAAAUGCCAUACAAUCAAACACAUUUGCAUUCAGAUAUUAUUUGAUUUUUAUUCCUAAAGCAUUAUAAAAUGUAUAGUUUAAGUGUACAAUUGAAUGCCUGAGUUGUUAUGCUUUUCGCUCUCAACGUCAUCUAGUAAUGCUUAUUUAGGAUGUUAAUGUCCAUUAGAUAAUAAUUUUAUUUUUCGCAUCUCACCUAAUUAACAUUAGAAUGGUAUACGUAAUCAUUGUAAAAGAUCUAGAUCUUACCACACUCGAUGAUCCUGAAAGUGAUGUUUCUGCACUUUCAUCUGAAAAUGUUGAAAAUUCUUGCACAGAACUAAGGUCAUGAAACUUUGCUCCUGAACGUAUGGAUCCAUAGCUUGUGUCUGAGCUAGUUGAAAGGCGUGAUGUUAGGCAUGCAUCUAUGAAAUCUAAGGCGACAGAAGAUGAUCGAUCAGUGCUCGGCCUGCCGGAGCUGACAAAUGAUAUGUCAUUUUCCGACUCCAUGAAUUCUGCAAAUGAUUUGACAUUGAAAGCUCGUCCUGGUCUUUCAAAUGGUGAUCUGUUAUGGACAACCAAAUUAGAGUAUGACUUACUUGAAGGAGUCAUCCAGCGACAUUCGAGGCUUGACUACUGUGCGAUCUGCAGGAAAACGACCACAGAAUGGUCAUCAACAUAAAAUCGAAAAAGGACUUGAUAAUGGAAAGAAACACACCUCUCAUACUUGGGCUGUGCAUGGAGUAUGAAUCAGAAGACGUAUCAAUUGUUUUGCUUUGGGCAUGUAUAUGAUCUAGUAAGGGAGACAUAUACGGAGCUGAACGAGAAGCUUGUCGCAUGGAAGAUGUCUUUCCUUUGGCGAUAACAUAUACGUUGCAGAAAUCAGGAGCGCCUUUGGAUACACUGAUACCUGAUAAAUCCGUGGCGAGAGGCGCCAAUGACCAAAUUAUCAAUGGCAGCAUAUGAAACAUAUUCGGUGAGUCCUUUUACAAUAUCUUGGUCCUCCAGUAUAAUAUCAAGGCAUUGUACAUCCUUGCGGGUGCAAUAGCAGCGAAAUGAAAGGAAGAGGUCCUUGGUGGCCUUGUCGAGCUGCUGUUUUCCCAUCGAACUAGCAUCGGACAUGCUAUAUCCCGAUCCUGCUUAUAUAGCAUUGAAGUGAAUUCAUCGAACCAAAUAAUAUAGGAAUAUUUACAAAUAAAAUUGCUACCUUUCUGCUGAAUUUCAAUUCUAUUAUGAUCUUAAAAGUUAGAUAACAUCAUUCAGGAA